rnacentral:rRNA from 1 species
UUCCGUAGGUGAACCUGCGGAAGGAUCAUUAUUGAAGUCUGGUUGUUGCUGGCCUUUUUCUCGGCAUGUGCACGCCUUAUUCAAACCCACCUGUGCACCUUUUGUAGACAGACUUUGUUUUGUCUAUCAAUCAUUUACUCCCGUGUAAUCAGAAUGUUAUUGAUUGGCCUCAGUGCCUUUAAUCAAAUAUUAUACAACUUUCAGCAACGGAUCUCUUGGCUCUCGCAUCGAUGAAGGACGCAGCGAAACGCGAUAAGUAAUGUGAAUUGCAGACACGUGAAUCAUCGAAUCUUUGAACGCACCUUGCGCUCCUUGGUGAUCUGAGGAGCAUGCCUGUUUGAGUGUCAUUAAAUUCUCAACCUAACCAACUUUUGGAUAGGCUUGGAUUGUGGGGGCUUUUGCUGGCUUCAACCCCUCAGAAGUCAGCUCCCCUUAAACGCAUUAGUGGAACGAUUUGUUGACCUUGUUUCCUGGUGUGAUAAAACCUUUAUCACCACCGUGUGCAGUCAGCUUACUCUGCUUCUAACCGAUUUUCAUUCACUCUUGACCAUUUGACCUCAAAUCAGGUAGGACUACCCGCUGAACUUAAGCAUAUCAAUAAGCGGAGG